ensembl:snRNA U6 U6 spliceosomal RNA
GUACCCAUUUCGGCAGCACAUAUACUAAAAUUAGAACAAUACAGAAAAGAUUAGCAUGGUCCCUGUGCAAGGAUGAAUGUAAAUUCGUAAAGCAUUCUACUUUUUU